GAUAACAGCAUAAUAUUCUUUGGAGAGUUCUUAUUGAUAAAGAUGUUUGUGACCUCGAUGUUGAAUUAAGAUAAAAGUUAAGUGUAGAUAUUUAAUUUGGUAGUCUGUUCGACUAUUAAAAUCUUACAUGAUUUGAGUUCAGAUCGGCGUAAGCCAGAUC
rfam:Cerapachys biroi unplaced genomic scaffold scaffold1943, whole genome shotgun sequence.